UGGGAUUUGUUGGGUUUUCCCUGUAAUAUUGUAAUAUUGACCUCACUAUGUAAAGUGCCUUGAGACAAUGUAUGUUGUGAUAUGGCGCUAUACAAAUACAAUUGAAUUGAAUUGAAUUGAACUGUGCCAUAUAAAUAAAUUCCACUGGCUUUGCCAGUAUAUAUAUAUAUAAAUAUUUACACACACACACACACACACACACACACACACACACACACACACACACACACACACAUUAUAUUAGAUAAAGUAAAAGGAUUUAAAUACUUUUUUGAAAUAUUCAAAUCAAUUCAAUUUGCAAAAUUAUGCCCUGCUUUCUUCACCUGCAGCUUGAGUCUUGAUAUUUUUGCACUAUGCAAAAAAUCAACUAGGGCAUGUGUUUGAUUAGUAAACAAGAAAUAUGUUUGCAUCUUCAUGUUCUUGAAAUGAUUCAUUCUUGUUUGUUAUACAUGGUUCGAGGAAAAUCCAGUUGAACUAAAUUCAUAAAUAUCAAUUUAUGAGAAGGGUGUUCAUUAACACAACGAGGCUUAUAUGGUCAGCUAUUGCGCAUGCGCCACGCCCUUGACCGCAUGCAGAUUUGAAAUGGGCGGGAGAUGGACCUUCUGGGAAAUCGUAACAGAUGGUUACAGGUAGCUGGCUGGCGAAUGCUGCUCCGAAUGUUUUGGCAACCUUCAUCUUCCGACAAGAGACCGAGGCAAAUGCUUCCAUGGAGUAAACUGUGCUGGGAGUGUAUGUUAUUCAGAAGGAAGGUGCGGAGCCUGCAGAUGACCCAGAGGACAUCGGUGUCCUGAUCGAAGGUGUGGACGUUCUCAGUAAUUUGAGGAGCACUUGAAUCGCCUGUGUUCUGUUAUUUGUAUUGAUAACUGUUUGAACCAGAGCUACCCACCCAAGCUCAAAUGCACUUUUGAAGUCAUGCAGAUAACUUUUCUGGAUGGGCAGAGGUUGUCAUCCAAGGCACUGUUCCAAUAUGUCUUUGCACUGAAAUGGUGUAUUACUUUGUAUACUUUGGUUUUAAAGAACAGGCAGACAAUAUAAAUGUACAAAGUCUUGCAAAAUUAAAAUUUUUGAAACCCCCCUCCCCCAAAGGUUUUAAAACGCAUAAUGUACAUUGUCAUGCACAGAUCUUGUUGGAUUAUUUGUAGCCCUUUGUUUUUAUAAUGGUGAAUAAUCUUUUCUAGGUUACACUACAAAUGCAGCUCUUUAACUGUUUAGAGUUUUACUUAAAAUUAUGCUGAAUGUGAAAAUGUUUUACAUGCUUUUAAAAAAAAAUGCAUGGAAUGUUACAAUUCUUAAAAGUUAUCCUUUUAAGAAUUGUAACAUUCCAUGUUCCACAUUCCUUGUCUAUUUGUAUUUAUGUUUGGUAAUUUAAGUAGAAUGAAUGUUAGUUCUAUGAAAGCAACACUAAUUAAACCAACAAGGUUGACAUUAGCAUAACGGACAAAACCUUUAUCAGCUCAUUCAACAAGAUUAGUAUUACUUUAACGGACAAAACCUGUAGGAGUUCAUACAACAUGGAAGAAUUUUGUUGUACAAAAGUGUUUGACCAAUGUAAACUACACUUAAAAGUAUCUUACUACAGUAACCCUGUACAAACAUUUAAGUUCAAUUAGAAGCAAAUUAAUUGAAUGCAAAUAUUAAAAUGAUGUUCAACCAACAAAUGCAUUUCAUGUUCAAAUAACACAAUCAAGGUAUGUUGACAUUACAGGAUUUGUUUAGAUGGAAUAUAGGUGGCAUGAUAAAAUUACGUUCAUCCAA